rnacentral:misc_RNA from 1 species
AAACAAGAGAGGAGAAGCAGGAGCAGGAAAAGGGAGUGGGAGAGAUGAGUGGUGGAGGGAGUGAGGAGGGAGAGUCGUUAGAGUUCACACCCACAUGGGUUGUUGCUGCUGUGUGCACUGUGAUUGUUGCCAUUUCUCUUGCUGCAGAGAGAUUUCUCCAUUAUGGUGGCAAAUAUCUUAAGAGCAAGAACCAGAAACCCCUGUAUGAAGCUCUCCAAAAAAAUUAAAGAAGAGUUGAUGCUUCUGGGUUUCAUAUCAUUGUUAUUGACAGUAUCUCAGGGCACAAUCUCUAAAUUCUGUGUACAUGAGCAUGUGCUUACUAAUAUGCUUCCUUGUGAUCUCUCUGAGAAAGGAGAAGAAGGACAAGGAUCUAAUACUACAGCUACAACCGAACAUUUUCAGAGGUUCUUUACAACUAGCAUUUCUGGCACUAACAGGCGCCUUCUGGCUGAAUCAACAGAAUCCCAGAUUGGUUACUGUGAGAAGAAGGGUAAGGUGCCACUGUUAUCCAUAGAAGCUUUACAUCAUCUACAUAUCUUUAUCUUCGUCCUAGCCAUUGUCCAUGUCACUUUCAGUGUGCUCACUAUUCUUUUUGGAGGGGCAAGGAUUCGUCAAUGGCAACACUGGGAGAAUUCAAUUGCAAAA